AUUGAACGCUGGCGGCAGGCCUAAUACAUGCAAGUCGAACGAGUGGCGGACGGGUGCGUCCUGUCUGGGAACCUGCCCGUAGGAGGGGGAUAACUACUGGAAACGGUAGCUAAUACCGCAUACCAUCCGAUUUGCCCCGCUGGGAUUAGCUAGUAGGUGGGGUAAAGGCUAACCUAGGCGACUAUCCCUAGCUGGUCUGAGAGGAUGACCAGCCACACUGGAACUGAGACACGGUCCAGACUCCUACGGGAGGCAGCAGUGGGGAAGAUUGCACAAUGGGCGCAAGCCUGAUGCAGCCAUGCCGCGUGUAUGAAGAAGGCUUUCGGGUUGUAAAGUACUUUCAGCGAGGAGGCGGUACUCGAAGAAGAAGCAACGGCUAACUCCGUGCCAGCAGCCGCGGUAAUAC
rnacentral:rRNA from 1 species